rnacentral:rRNA from 1 species
GGACUACCCGGGUUUCUAAUCCCGUUUGCUCCCCUAGCCUUCGCGCCUCAGCGUCAGGAAUUGUCCAGAGAUCCGCCUUCGCCACUGGUCUUCCUCACGAUAUCUACGCAUUUCACUGCUACACCGUGAAUUCCGAUCUCCUCUCCAAUCCUCUAGCAGAGCAGUAUCCAGUGCAUUUUCGAAGUUGAGCUCCGAGAUUUCACACCAGACUUACCCCACCGCCUACGCGCCCUUUACGCCCAAUGAAUCCGAACAACGCUUGAGACCUCUGUAUUACCGCGGCUGCUGGCAC